CAGGACGAACGCUGGCGGCGUGCCUAAUACAUGCAAGUCGAACGAACUCUGGUAUUGAUUGGUGCUUGCAUCAUGAUUUACAUUUGAGUGAGUGGCGAACUGGUGAGUAACACGUGGGAAACCUGCCCAGAAGCGGGGGAUAACACCUGGAAACAGAUGCUAAUACCGCAUAACAACUUGGACCGCAUGGUCCGAGCUUGAAAGAUGGCUUCGGCUAUCACUUUUGGAUGGUCCCGCGGCGUAUUAGCUAGAUGGUGGGGUAACGGCUCACCAUGGCAAGGAUACGUAGCCGACCUGAGAGGGUAAUCGGCCACAUUGGGACUGAGACACGGCCCAAACUCCUACGGGAGGCAGCAGUAGGGAAUCUUCCACAAUGGACGAAAGUCUGAUGGAGCAACGCCGCGUGAGUGAAGAAGGGUUUCGGCUCGUAAAACUCUGUUGUUAAAGAAGAACAUAUCUGAGAGUAACUGUUCAGGUAUUGACGGUAUUUAACCAGAAAGCCACGGCUAACUACGUGCCAGCAGCCGCGGUAAUACGUAGGUGGCAAGCGUUGUCCGGAUUUAUUGGGCGUAAAGCGAGCGCAGGCGGUUUUUUAAGUCUGAUGUGAAAGCCUUCGGCUCAACCGAAGAAGUGCAUCGGAAACUGGGAAACUUGAGUGCAGAAGAGGACAGUGGAACUCCAUGUGUAGCGGUGAAAUGCGUAGAUAUAUGGAAGAACACCAGUGGCGAAGGCGGCUGUCUGGUCUGUAACUGACGCUGAGGCUCGAAAGUAUGGGUAGCAAACAGGAUUAGAUACCCUGGUAGUCCAUACCGUAAACGAUGAAUGCUAAGUGUUGGAGGGUUUCCGCCCUUCAGUGCUGCAGCUAACGCAUUAAGCAUUCCGCCUGGGGAGUACGGCCGCAAGGCUGAAACUCAAAGGAAUUGACGGGGGCCCGCACAAGCGGUGGAGCAUGUGGUUUAAUUCGAAGCUACGCGAAGAACCUUACCAGAUCUUGACAUACUAUGCAAAUCUAAGAGAUUAGACGUUCCCUUCGGGGACAUGGAUACAGGUGGUGCAUGGUUGUCGUCAGCUCGUGUCGUGAGAUGUUGGGUUAAGUCCCGCAACGAGCGCAACCCUUAUUAUCAGUUGCCAGCAUUAAGUUGGGCACUCUGGUGAGACUGCCGGUGACAAACCGGAGGAAGGUGGGGAUGACGUCAAAUCAUCAUGCCCCUUAUGACCUGGGCUACACACGUGCUACAAUGGAUGGUACAACGAGUUGCGAACUCGCGAGAGUAAGCUAAUCUCUUAAAGCCAUUCUCAGUUCGGAUUGUAGGCUGCAACUCGCCUACAUGAAGUCGGAAUCGCUAGUAAUCGCGGAUCAGCAUGCCGCGGUGAAUACGUUCCCGGGCCUUGUACACACCGCCCGUCACACCAUGAGAGUUUGUAACACCCAAAGUCGGUGGGGUAACCUUUUAGGAACCAGCCGCCUAAGGUGGGACAGAUGAUUAGGGUG
rnacentral:rRNA from 1 species